UACGUAGGUGGCAAGCGUUGUCCGGAAUUAUUGGGCGUAAAGCGCGCGCAGGCGGUUUCUUAAGUCUGAUGUGAAAGCCCGCGGCUUAACCGUGGAAGGUCAUUGGAAACUGGGAGACUUGAGUGCAGAAGAGAAGAGCGGAAUUCCACGUGUAGCGGUGAAAUGCGUAGAGAUGUGGAGGAACCCCAGUGGCGAAGGCGGCUCUUUGGUCUGUAACUGACGCUGAGGCGCGAAAGCGUGGGGAUCAAACAGG
rnacentral:rRNA from 1 species